rnacentral:rRNA from 1 species
GACGUAGGGCGCGAGCGUUGUCCGGAUUUAUUGGGCGUAAAGAGCUCGUAGGCGGCUUGUUGCGUCGACUGUGAAAACCCGCGGCUUAACUGCGGGCUUGCAGUUGAUACGGGCAGGCUAGAGUUCGGUAGGGGAGACUGGAAUUCCUGGUGUAGCGGUGAAAUGCGCAGAUAUCAGGAGGAACACCGGUGGCGAAAGGCGGGUCUCUGGGCCGAUACUGACGCUGAGGAGCGAAAGCGUGGGGAGCAAACAGG